rnacentral:lncRNA from 1 species
UGACUAAUGUGAACAGAACUCGAAACUCUAAACGAACUAGACACUAAGACCAGCAACUCGACACGACGAUGCAACCGAUAAUUCAACUAUGCAAGCAAUGAAAAGAAAAUUGCAAAGGCUCAGACUGGCUUGGACCAAGGAUGAAUAGAUCUAACUCUUUUUUGUGGCUUUUUCUUGGACAAUAGGUAAGAAAAUAAAUCUAAUCUAGGAAAACUGGAAAUUCUCACCGAGCAACCUGAAAACUGAUACCACUUGAUAGAGGCGGAGGUGUCCCGUCUUUCGAUGAGAUGGUGGAUUUCGCUUUGGUGGAAGUCGACUUUGACGAUCCGACUACGAACGUGCGAGGACGUCGCGCCUUAGCAAUCGCUAAACCAACUCCGAGAGGUUAUUGACCACGCCGGAGCACGAUCAACCUGACCACGAGGGUCUGUUUCCUGCGAGCAAACGAAGAACAAGCAAGAAACUAAGAUUGCAAUCUGGAUAUUGCGAAUAUAAGAUGAAAGCUUUAUUGAUCAAGGUGGGGUUCUGUGACGCCUUUGUCUGGUCGUUGAACACAAACGAAGUACGCGAAGUUGCAGCUAUGGCGAACUUUUAAUCUAAACAAAACCCAAAGUCUAAACGAUGCCCUAAGGGCUGUAUAUAUGGAGGAAGAGGGGGGAAUUUCGUGGCCCUUGGUGGAGGGGUCCGAAAUCAACCCUAUCUCUUGUUUCCCCACACAUACGGACUCUAAAAAUAGCCUAUACUUAUGUAGUUCGAAAUUACAUGGGCCUGGCCCAAUAAUAAGGUGACGCAGCACCUAAAAUAGCCUCGGGACGAAAUUUAUGAAGUGGCAUCUUGUAUAUUUCGUCCAAGGCUUCAUGUACCCAUUAUGGUGGCUUCAAAGUCCUGAAAUCAUCACUUGUAACUCCGUUCUUGUUCCCCUUGCGCAUGCCAUCAUCUCCAUGCUUGUUCUUGCUCCAAUGUUCAUCCUUCUCCAAGCUAGGCCCUUCAUUUGUAAGCAAAACAAAUGUAUCCAAUUUAGGCAGCAUCAUAUUCUCAUGAACAUUAGAAUCAUUACCAAGAAACGAAAGUACCUGGUAAUUUAGUUGGCGUGCACGAGCUCUAGUAAUUGGUCCAGUAUGUAUAGCAGCAGGGGCUGUGGGUGUAACAAUUGUAUUGAUGUCCUCAUCACCUCUUAUGAUCAACUCAGAUGAUGUAGCCACUCUCGGGGGCGAUGUGUCACAUGGUGGAGGUGAUGUAGUCCGGACAACAACGAAUGUGGUUGUCAUAGUAUGCCUAGUAGUUGAAGGAACAACCAUAUCAACUCUUGGAAUGUGCACCGUGCGCUUAUUCUCCUCAUGGCCAACACGUCGUUUUAUUUCCUGUUCAGCUUUGCAAGCAAGAUGAAACAAAUGGUCCAUAGGAUAACACUCUCCAUGAAUUAGUGUCUCUUGAAUAUCACGGUUUAAUCCUCCCCAAAAUCUAUCCAUAAAAUCAUCUUCACUUUCUUCUAAAGAGGAAUGCAACAAGGUAGUUUGUAAAUCAUCAUAAUAUUUUGUUACAGUUUCACUACCUUGUUUUAAGUGUUGCAACUUCUUAAUCAUGUCACGAGUAUAAUAAGCAGGGACGAAAGUAUGUCGCAUGGCAAGUUUCAAAUCAUCCCAAGUAGUAGGUAUAUAAUCAGGGUGUAACCAACAAUAUUCACUCCACCAAACCAAAGCAUAACCAGUGAAAGAACCAACCGCAACCUUAACCUUUUUAUGUUCAUCGAAAUUAUGGGAAGCAAAUAUAUUUUUUAUGUCAAACUCCCAUUCAAUAUAUAAAGCAGGUUUAAAACGGCCAUUAAAUGGUGGUAUAGAUACAUUAACCUGAUCAUGUGCAUUUGGAUGUUUGUGCACCUCUCGUGACGGUUGUGGUAUUUGCAAAGGUGGUGGCACGUCUCCCGCGAUCGACAAAGCCCAUGAAUUGACUCUGGAUCCUGUCAUGAUUAGUAGAACAAGAAACAAAACCCAAAAAUAAUGUUCCUAUAACUACUAGGAUGUGGUGGUAAAACGCUCACAGUAAAGCAAAUAUCAAUGUCUUACAAGUUCUUACCAUGCAGCAGGCGGUGAUCGGCAACCAGCGGUGUCAAGUAACUCCGAAUAUUGAGUAAAGCGAUUGCCAAGGGAGCGUACGUAUACACGGUGUAGAAAUAUGUGGAGCUGGGUUGGCUAUAUAUGGUAGCAAAAGAUUAGCAAUAAUCAAUUCAAAGAUGCAAUGUUGAAUAAACGCUCAAGGACGGUACUGUGCUGGUCCUAGGCUAGACCGGACUAGAGACGCGAGCCUAGAACACUAAUAAGGUCACGGCGUAGCACAACUAGCAUCAAUGAAGGAUACUAAGUAGCUCUUGACAGCAAGAUAUAAGUGAAGAUCACAACGGCAGUGAAGAUAAUGAUGAAAAACAACUGCCAAUCAAGAUAUACAACAACUCUCUCUCCAACUUUCCUCUUGAAAAGUUUGAGACAAUUUUCUGAUAAAUUCUUUCAAAGAAUGGUACUAACUCAAGCUUUCCAAUGCAAAAAGAAUCACUCAAUUCCGAGUUGAUAUGAGGAGUCAAAGAAUUCUAAAACUGCCCUGAAAAAUUGGAACAAGCUGUGUUCACGAACUUCGGAGGGCAAAAAGACCUAUUUAGAAGCCGAUUUUGAGGUGUCAAAUAUUGAACUAGCUUCUGCAACUAUUUAGAUGCGGCUCGUCGCUAUCUUCAAUUUGAGUACUCACGGAGCCAAAACGGACUUCGUAUGAGGAAGAUACACCUGUUUUACUGAACAGUGCGCAAAACAGAUUCCAAUCCGAAUUCAGGUACGAGAUUGAUUCUAGAUAGAUCCAAUUUUUUUUCUUCUCUCUUUUUUUUUCUCACGCUUUUUUUUCUUUUCCUUUUUUUUUCUCUCUCCCUCUUUCCAAAACAAACUAGAUAAGAUGUAGAUUGGAUCAAGCAAAGAUGGGAACGAUCUCAACUAUGAUUAUGACAAUGAACGGUGGGUAGCACAUGGAGGAAAUUGAUGGAUGGGUGGUGGACAGCGGAAGGGAUAACGAUGCAGCGGCGACGUGAGUAAUGUGAACAGAACUCGAAACUCUAAACGACCUAGACACUAAGACCAGCAACUCGACACGACGAUGCAACCGAUAAUUCAACUAUGCAAGCAAUGAAAAGAAAAUUGCAAAGGCUCAGACUGGCUUGUACAAAGGAUGAAUAGAUCUAACUCUUUUUUGUGGAUUUUUCUUGGACAAUAGGUAAGAAAAUAAAUGUAAUCUAGGAAAACUGGAAAUUCUCACCGAG